GACGAACCGUGCGAACGUUGUUCGGAAUCACUGGGCUUAAAGGGCGCGUAGGCGGUUCGGCAAGUCUUCAGUGAAAUCUCUGGGCUCAACUCAGAGUCUGCUGGGGAAACUGCCGGGCUUGAGUGUGGGAGAGGAGAGUGGAAUUCCUGGUGUAGCGGUGAAAUGCGUAGAUAUCAGAAGGAACACCUGAGGCGAAAGCGGCUCUCUGGACCACAACUGACGCUGAGGCGCGAAAGCUAGGGGAGCAAACAGG
rnacentral:rRNA from 1 species